UUCUUCAACCGGCACCCUGAUGGCGGAUGCUCUCCUUUCUAUUGUCUUAGAUCAGUUGGGUUCUCUUAUCCAACAACAAAUUCAUCAGGAAGUUUCUCUGGUUGUGGGUGUUGAAACAGAAAUCCAAAGCCUCACCGACACACUCCAGGUCGUCCGAGCUGUUGUUGCAGAUGCAGAGAAGAGACAAGUGAAGGAGGAACUUGUCAAAGUUUGGUUGCAGAGGCUUAAAGACAUCGCCUACCAAAUGGACGACGUGCUGAAUGAGUGGAGCACUUCUCUUCUCAAAUCUCAGAUUGAGAGAGCUGAAAGCCCUUCCAUGUCUAAGAAGAAGGUAAGCUCCUGCAUUCCCUCCCCUUGCAUCUGUUUCAAACGAGUUGCUGGCCGUCGUGACAUUGCUCUUAAGAUUAAGGAUAUCAAACAACAAGUUGAUGACAUUGCAAACCAGAGCAAUGGGUUCAAUUUUACAUCCAGAUUUAGCAACGAGGAACCACAGAGGCUUAUAACUAUAUCUGCAGUUGACAUUUCAGAGGUAUGUGGUCGGGAUAAGGACAGGGACACCAUACUAAGGCAGCUGUUGGGUGAGAGUUGUGAACAAAACUUGGGCCCCUACAUCAUCUCCCUAGUUGGGCUGGUGUCGGCAAGACUAACUCUUGCUCAACUAGCCUUUAACCACCAUGAGGUGGAGGCCCAUUUUGAUAUAAGAAUCUGGGUCUGCGUGUCUGAUCCUUUUAUCCCAGUAAGAAUUUUUAGGGAUAUUUUUGAAGCCCUCUAUGAAAAGUCUUCCGAUGUCCAUAAUCCUGAAGUUCUACAGAAAAAAAUUCAAGCAUGUAUUGAUGGGAAGAAGUUUCUCCUUGUGCUGGAUGACGUGUGGAAUGAAGACUAUCAGUUGUGGGAACAAGAAGAAUUGUCUCAAGUGUGGAGGUGGUGGGAGUAGAAUUUUAGUGACCACUCGCAGUGAGAGCGUUGCUAGGAUGAUGAGAAGCACAUACAUGCACUCCUUAGGAUGCUUACCAUUAAAGCAAUGUCGGGCAUUAUUUUCCCAAAUAGCUUUUUGCGGGAAGAGCGCCGACAAAAUUGAAGAACUAGAAGAAAUUGGCAAAAAAAUAGCAGACAAGUGCAGGGGAGAAUGCUUACUUCUUGCUGUUAAAGCUUUAGGGAGUCUGAUGCAGUCCAAAUAUAAUAAACAAGAUUGGGAGAACGUGUUGAAUAGUGAAAUGUGGGAAUUGGAUGUUUUUGAGAAAAAACUGUCCCCUGCCUUAUUGUUGAGUUAUUAUGAUCUGCCCCCGCCACUUAAACAGUGCUUCUCAUACUGUGUGGUCUUUCCCAAAGAUCGCACCAUUCAAAUAGACGACUUGAUUAAGUUGUGGAUGGCUCAAAGCUACCUCAACUCUAAGGCAGGCAGAGAGAUGGAGACAAUUGGGAGAGAGUACUUUGAAAACUUAGCAGCUCGGUCUUUCUUCCAAGAUUUUGAGAAAGAUGAAGAGGGUAACAUAGUAAGGUGCAAGAUGCAUGAUAUAGUGCAUGACUUUGCUCAAUUUUUGACCAACAAUGAAUGCUUAAUUGUGGAGGAUGAUUGUGAAAACCUAAAGACAAACUUGUCCCGUCAAAAGGGCCGUCAUGCAACUGUAAUUGUGCAUGGAAGUACCAGAUCCUCUUUCUCCGUAAAAAACGCGAGGAAUUUACACACACUUUUAGUUGUGUCUAACGGGUAUAGAAUUGACUCAUUUCCACUUGAUUCAUUCCAGCAAUUCAAAUAUCUCAGAGCAAUGGAUUUGAGCAAGGAUACCUCAAUUAAAGAUCUCCCAAGCCAGGUGGGUGAAUUCACACAUUUGAGGUACCUUAAUCUAUCAUAUUGUGAGAGAUUGGAAACAUUGCCCGAACCAAUCAGUGAGUUAUGCAAUCUGCAAACCUUAAAUGUUCGCUAUUGUCUGAGGCUUAGAAAACUACCUCAAGGGAUAAGAAGUCUAAUUAAUUUGAGACAUCUUCAAAUUAGGGCCGGUUUUUCUAUUCUAAGAGGCCUGCCUAAGGGAGUCGGAAGAUUAACAUCUCUUCGAACCUUAUCCUUUUUUAUUGCUGAUGAUGAGAAUGGAAGUGAUGUGUGCAAAAUGGAAGAAAUGAGAAACUUAAAAUCUCUAUGGUCUAUGGUCUGACAUUGAAGAAUAAGAAAUAGCAGGAUUUGAGCAAAGUGGAAGAUGCAGGGGAGGCUGAAAAGGCAGAAUUGAAGAAUAAGAAAAAGCUCUAUGGUCUGACAUUAAGUUUCGAACCAUGGACGAGUCAACCAGUAGGGAUGAAGGAAGUGGCUGAAGCCCUACAACCCCAUCCAAACUUAAAAUCUCUGCACAUAGCAUGGUAUCAAGUCAAGGAAUGGCCCAGGUGGAUGAUGGAGCCAUCAUUACUCCAACUAACACAACUUUUCCUUUCAGAUUGUGAUAGAUGUCAGUGCUUGCCUCCUCUGGGGGAUCUCCCACUUCUCGAGAGCUUGGAAAUAAAACGGAUGGAGCAGGUGAAAUAUGUUGGUGGUGAGUUCUUGGGAUCAUCAUCAAAAAUUGCAUUUCCAAGGCUGAAGCAUCUGUCUUUUGAAGGCAUGUUAGAGUGGGAAAAUUGGGAAGUAAAAGAAGAAAAAGGGAAGAAAGUAAUGCCAUGUCUUCUUUCCUUGAAAAUAGAUCACAGUCUAGAGCUUACGGCAGUACCGGACCUCCUGCUCUAGAGGACACCACCAAUUAAGCUUUCUCUUACCUAACCUUGUCUUUUCUCUCUUUUUCUUCUGUCAUCACCUUUUUCUUUUCUCUUGUUAUUUUUAUUUGAAAAAAAAGUGGGGUAAAGAGGAAAUAGGUGGAAGCUCUUAACAUUUGUCCAUUGGCUCUGCACAGGUUGCCCUCCAUGCAAGUAAUUAUUCUCUUUUCUUUUUAAUUUUGCUUUUCUAUAAUUAUUUAUCUCAUCUCUUUUUUUUUCCUUUUCCUUUUUCCUCUUUUAUAAAUUUAUUUAUAUAUUUUGGCAAUACCCUAAUUACUAAUAGUAAGUUUAACCAUAUAUUUUAGUUAAUUAUUUAUAAAUGUAAAUUCGUAUGUUUGUCGUCCCUUAUUUUUUAAAUUAUGAAGUAAUAAUAACUUUUAUAUAAAAUAUAUCAUUUUUAAUACCAAAUUAUGAACUUAUCCUCCAUAUAUUUUUGAAAACUACUUUCAAUAUAAAAAUGUUAAAAUUAAUUUUUAAAACUAUUUUUAAAAAUCAUAAAUCUUUGAAGGUAAGUACAUAAAAGUUUCUUUAUUUUAGAUAUUAGUUACUAUUAUUUUUAAAAAAUAAAAAUAAAAUAAAAAGUGCAUCCAAACCAUAUCAGUUUUCCAUUUUAAAUCAAUUUGUUUUUCAAAGUAAAAUUUUCUUUAAUUUCGAUUUUUUUUAUUUGAAAUAAAUUUAAUUUAAUUUCCCAAAGGCUUGAGAAAUAAGUAGUUGGAAAAUUCUAUUCCUUCCUUAAGUCUUAAGUCAGAAUAUUCUCUUUUGACUGUGAUAAUUGAUGAAAUGCAGGUAUGAGACUCCAUGGGGCAUAUUCCAUCUAAAACAACCUUUCAAAUGAAGAGAUGUAAUUGAGUUUUUGGUAUGAAAGUAAGUCUAUCAUUGUAUUGGAUUUCAUGAUAAAUGAAUGUAAAGUUGUGAUGAGAACACAUUCCAUUACAUAAAAGUUUAUACUUUUUUUUCUCCUCCCUCAUUUGUUGAUCCAAAAAUACUAUAUGUAAAUUAUUCUUUAGUCUUUCUUGUUUGAUAAUUUUUGUCAAAUAAAAAUAAUAAUAAAUUUGAAUAAAUAUAUGAGAAAACUUUAGUGGGUUUAAACAUUUUUUCAAUUUUUUUUACUGUGUCUUUUCUUUCCCUUUUCUUUAUGUCACAUUUAAUUGGAUCAUAUAUUUUGCUCAAACUUUCCAAAAUCUAAGUACAAUUCUAUAAUUUGGAUAAUAUGCCAAAUUACAAAUUUAACAAUUUUGUUUAUAUUUGUAAGACGGAUUUUAUGACAAGUGAAAAUGGUUUGAUAGCUUAUUCGAGAGAAAAAGUAAAAAUAGUUUUUUCAAAACAGUUUUUAAAACAAAAAUAAUAAAUAUAUUCAUUUUUAGUCAUUUUAAAUUUCUUUUAGACUAUAACUCAAGCUAGAACUAACUCAAAAUCCACAUAAAUAUCAAAGAAAAUGAAUACAUAAUAUUAUUAUUAAGAGGAUCUCUCCCUUUAUUGAAGAGAAAGAAAACACAUAAAUUAUGUUUGGUUCUCGAAAAAUAUGAGGAAAAAUGUGAAGAAAUAAAAAUAGAGAGGAAAUGUAAAAGGAGAGAAAAACAAAGAAAAAUAAAAAAUAUAUUUAAAAUCAAUAAAUUAUUUUAUAUGCUAUUUUAGACUCAUUUAACUUAUUUUUCAUUUUCUAUAUAAAGAUUAAAUAAUUAAAAAAUGUAAAAAAUUUAAAAUCUAAUUUUAAUUAUAUUUUAUUUUCUUUCAUAUUUCCAUAUUGAAAUCAAAUAUGAGAAAAUUAUUUUCCUUAAUAUUAUUUUUUUCUUUCUUAAUACUUUUUAGGAACCAAACAUAGUCAUAAUGUUUUGUUGAGAUGAUUUUUCUAUUAUUAAUUUAUAUAUAUAUAUAUAUAUAUAUAUACUACAAGUUAAUGGAAAGCAUUUUUUUUAAUAGUUUAUAAUUAUUUAAAACCUUAUUAAUUCCACUAUUUUUAAAAGAAAAUUCUAACUUUAAUUGAUUGAAAUUCUUGAUUUUUCAUAAUUUAGGAAAGAAUUGACAAUGAAUAUUGUAAAACAUGACUUUUCAUGACAGGCUCAAAAUUAAUAAAUGUUUUAGUAUUGUAAUUUUUUAUCAUAUGAUGCUAAAUAAUAGCCAUAACAAAACACUAUUCAUCCUUCUUUUAAUGUAUAUAGGCAUAGAUAUAAAAUGAAUUACUAAGCUAAACAACUCCUUUAGCUUUCAUUUGGAUCUUGAAAACAUUGAGGAAAUAUACCAAAAAGGAAAAAAGAAGAAAAAAAAAAUAGAGAAACAUAGGUGGGGAAAAAUUACAAGAAAAGAAAAGAGAUAGAAAUAAGAAAUCCAAAUGGAAAGUUUGAAGUUGAGUGGUUUUAAAACUGUUUUACUUGAACCACUCUAUUUUCUUACCUAUUGGUUUGGAAUUUUUGUUCUAAGCUAUCAAAGUCCAAACGAUGUGAAAUUUACAGCCUCGAUUCCUUAGAGAGUCUAAUAUUAUAUGAAAAAUACUUUGGAGUAUAAUUUUAUUCAAAACUAAUCCUAACAAUUUUGAGAAGUAUAAUUAGUCCAAGCCAUUUCUGUGAACCUCUCCCCUAUAAUUUCCAAAUAUGUCUGGAAUUUUCUCAUAGGGUAAAUAUGGUCUAAAUGUAACAAUACUUGAAUGGUCAGACAGCUUAUUAUAGACUCCAUCAUUUGGUAAAAUAAUAAGGGAUUUUAAUACUUUACCAAAAAUUCACAAAAAUUUAAAAACUUCCAACUAGUUGGAAUUAAAAAAAGAAAACAAACAAACAAACAAAAACAAAAACAAAGUAUUCCUCAUUAUUGGGAAAUCCCCUUUUUUCAUGAAGUUACCUCCAUAAACUCAACUUAAUCUAUUAUAUUAGAUUGUUUGAACUUGAUUUGGGUCCUUCAAAACUGGAACAAAUUGGGGUUCACCUAUUAUGGGUUAAAAGGUAUUACUACAUCCCUCUUGAGUAUCAAUAUCAUAGAAUAUCAUUCUCAUCCAAUACUUCUAACAAUUUAUAUGUGAAUCAAACUUAUAAUACAAUAUUUUUCUUCACUCUCUUGUCAACCAAACAGUCCAAAAAGUAAGAAAAAUAGUUUAAAUAUAUAUAAUUAACACAUAAAAAUCUAAUUUGUAACAACACUUGCCCAAAGAAGAGGUGGAGAAGAAGAGGAUAGAAGAAGAAAAAAUAUAAGAUGAAAUUAUUUAACUCUAAUGUCUCCUUUAAGUAGAGAUGAAAAUCUCUACUCCUUAAUGUUUGACUCCAACUUUUACACCAUUUUCUCUCAACAGAUUUUCAAAGAAGAAGAAGAAGAAGAAACCUCUAGGGAAAAUGAAGAGAAAUGAUUAUUUUUUUAAUUUUUUUUUUAUAUUUUCUUUUCAAAUAUGAACUAAUAAUUACCUUUAUCUACAUUAGGAUGUGAUCAAACCGCCCUUGGUUACCACCAAAAUUUCGAGCAUACCCCCUUGUCUUGUAGUGUUCAUGUGUGACAUGUGGCAACCUUUAAGUGUGACAUAUGGCGCUUCUAGUACAUUCUCAACAAUUCUUCAUCUCUAUGUGUAACAUUUGACAACCCCUAAGUGUAACAUGUGGCGUUUUUUUGUAUAUUCCCAAAUUAAUUACUUAUACUAAUAGUCUAGUUAAUACAACGCUUUGCUGGCUUUUUUGUAUAGUUUUGCGAUAAUUUAACUUUCCUAGUUCUCUUAAAUUAUUAGGGAUUUAAUUAUUUCAUAAAGAUUUUACUUACUCUAAAUUUAAGAUACAAACAUAUGAAAAAAAUGAAAAAUUCAUUUCAUUUGAACUUCAGUUGUUAUACCAUAUUUCUUGUGUCUUAACUAAUCAUAAGUUAUAUUGGUUGAUAUCAAUAGGUUACUUUUAACGAAAUAAAAAAAAUGAAAUAUUUUAACUUUUUAUAUUUAACCAAAAAAUAAAUACCACUCUAAAUUAAAAUUUGAUAAAUAGAUGUAUCAAAUUAGGUGUUUCUUCUAAAAGUUAUUCUUUUAGUACGUAACACGUUUCAAAAUCACUUUCCACUCUCACCCGUUAAAUUUAUUGGUAAUCAUAAAGCAAUGGUUGAUUGAAAUGUCAUGAUCAUAUUCAUUGAGGUGGAUUUCCUACCAAAACCAAAAAUCAAUUACUAAUUUAUGUUAAGGGUGUAUAUGAUGAAAUAGUAGAAUUUAUUUAAGGCCAUGAAGACUUUUUACUUUAUUGGAUCGCUGGAUAUAGUGGCAGAGGGAAGCGGUUAGCGGCAAAAGUGAUCAGCUACUAUUGCCAAUAUGCAGAGGUGGACCAUGCAAAGUUUUAAUCCGAACACAUUAUACGAAUAUGCAUCUGUUGCCGUAAGUGGAUGUGGAUUAUGUUUUACUUCUACCUAAAUAACAGUACAUUUCGCAUUGAUUUUAAAAAUCGUUUUUAACCUCAAAAGUAUUCUUAAAAAAAAAUUAAUAUUUAAUAAAGUUAAGAAAAUAUUUUAAAAAAUCUGACACUUAUAAUGUUUUUUAAAAAACCAAUAUAACUAAUCAUAAGUUAUAUAAUACAAUAUUUUUCUUCACUCUCUUGUAAACCAAACAGUCCAAGAAGUAAGAAAAAUAGUUUAUAUAGAUAUAUAUAAAAUUAACACAUAUAAAAAUCUAAUUUGUAACAACACUUGCCCAAAGAAGAAGAGGUGGAGAAGAAGAGGACUUCACAUUGAUUAUGUUUUACUUCUACCUAAAUAACAGUACAUUUCACAUUGAUUUUAAAAAUCGUUUUUAACCUCAAAAGUAUUCUUAAAAAAAAUUAAUAUUUUAUAAAAUUUAGAAAAUAUUUUUAAAAAUCUGAAAAAUCACUUAUAAUAUUUUUUUAAAAACCACUUGAGGUAUGUUUGGUAUUAAUUUUAAAAAGUGUUUCUAGUAUUUUUAAUACUUAAAAGAUAAAAAAAUUUAAGUGUUAGAAAAAUUGAAAACACUUCCUAGAAUUACGAUUAAAAGCACUCUCAAAAAUUUUCCUAAAAUCACUUCUAGAUAAUUCACUUACAUUACAAACAUUUUAAGUAAAAUGACUAUAAAAUGCAAUUUAAGUCAAGCUUCCUUAAUGCACAUGCUCACUAGUUAAAUUGACAAAUUUUGACUCUGUGACUCUUUGUUGAUCUUGUAAAUUGUUCUUUUUUGGUUUUCUACAAAAAAAAAAAAAAAAAAAAAAAACUAUUAAGAUUAUGUUUGCUUCCUAAAAAAUUUAAGGGAAAUUGUGAGCGAAAGAAAAUAGAAAAAAUAGGGAUAAAAAAAGUGAAGGUAAAUAAAAUUUCAAAAUCAACAAAUUAUUUUUAUAUAUUUCUUCAAACUCAUUUUACUUAAUUUCUUAUAUUAUAUAAAGAUUAAAUAAUUUUAAAAUAUAUAAAUUUUUAAUUAAUUUUAAUUAUAUUUGAUUUUCCUUCACAUUUUUUAUAAUAAAAUUUAAUAUGAGAAAACUAUUUUUCUUAAUAUUUUUUUUCUUUAAUACCGUCCAGAAACCAAACAUGUUUGUGUAGACCCCCCCGAGGAGAGAGUUUUCUUGGAUUAUUUAUCAUUUUUUUUAUUGCUUUUCUGACUGCUCUCAAGUGGGCUGCUCUCGGGCGGCUAGAUGGGACGGGAUAGACAUGGCUUGGGCAGGGAGGCUUUUCUGGAGGACAGGGAACAGAGCAAGGCGAGGAGAGGAUUUCUCAGAGAGAGAGACGACCCAGAGCAUCCAGCUGAGGAAGAUAGCUUCACGGUUUCAGCAGUUUCGUCGACAUUGGAGGUGGAUCUAAGGCGUUUGAAGCCGAACAAGGCUUUACGGGAGAAAGGUAUUCUCGGGUAUGAAUGCAACAGGUUUAUUGUUAGAUUCGGAUCUUAGCUAUCCCUCUGCAUUUUCUUGUUGAUAUUUUGGAUAUUUGUUGUUUUGCUUGGAGUGGAUUGUUGCUUGUUGAGUUAUAACCAUGAAUUCAUGCUUGCUAUCGUCAAUCUUUAUAUGCUCUGUUUCUAUUGUGAUUGUGAAAUGCCCGAGAACCCCUCCAAUACUUGCAUUUGAUGCCGUUUUCUCACCUAGAAGGUUCACUGACGAUUCAUGACGAGAAGCCUCCUUGAUGAGCCUUUCUAUUUGUUUUCUUCUAUGCUCUGUUUUCAUGCAUUUCUCAUUAUUGAGGCCACCUAUAUCACCUCCGCCAAGCCAUCUCUCAUCAUCGGGUUGCUGGAAGCUAUCAAAGCUGCCGCCGCGAUGCGCCGAGCGCACCUCCAUGCGCUGUCUGGAGGAUGCAGACGAUCCCCCGCCGAAGACUUCGACAUUAUCACCACCGUUCGAGACGACGCCGGGGCGAGUUCCAGCAUGCCUCGUGAGGAGGCUUCUGUCAAGCACAGCCAGCUCGCGUUUUGGUGCCGCUACGUCGGCGGCGAGCCCGCUCACCGUGCCAUGGAAGCAUCUGAAGGCCGCCUUACCGCCAGCCCCGUCCUCCAUCGUCCAUUGCUUGCAGCAAUCCCACCCUCGGACCGCCAGCAACUCCUUCUCUGACGCAGGCAUGGUGCGUCUUGACCCGCUCCGGCCAGGUGGAUAGCCGCGCCAGUCAUCGGCAACGGCGGCAACGUCUCUUGGUGCCGUCGGCGGUAGGAGUUCCCUCGGAGGGUGAUUUCCAGGCGAGAAGAGGAGUUGUGGGGAAGAUGAAGUUUGGUUUUUGGGCUUGGGCUAAGGCUAGGCCCAAUUUUGUGUUUGGUUUUGGCUUUGGGCUCAGGUUUGAGUUGGGGGCACUAGGCCCAGGUUUGUGAUGGGUGUUUGCAUUGGGUUUGCUUAUGAAGGCUAUGGGCUUAGGUUUGGAUUUGGAGCCCGGGCCCAAGCCUAUGCUAAAGAUGGAGCCUUUGUCUUAAGCCCAUUUUCUAUUAUUACUAUUAUUAUUAUUAUUAUUAUUAUUGUUAAUUAUUAUUAUCAUUGAUAUUAUUAUUAAUUAUCAUUGUUAUUAUUAUUGUUACUAUUAUUAUUAAUUAUUAUUAUCAUUAUAUUUAUUAUCAUUGUUAUUAUUAUUAUUAUUAAUUAUUAUUAUCAUUGUUAUUGUCAUUAUUAUCAUUGUUGUUAUUAUUGUUAUUACUGUUAUUAAUUAUUAUUAUCAUUGUUACUAGUAUUACUAUUAUUAUUAUCAUUAUUCUUGUCAUUAUUAUUAUUAUUAUCAUUAUUAUUACCAUUAAUUCAACUUUCAAAAUCUAUUUAUUAUUAUUAUUAUAACCAUUAAUCCAAACUUUCAAAAUCCUAUUAUUAUUAUUACUAACCCAACUUUCAAAACCUCAUUAUUAUCAUUAUUAUUAAUUCACACUUUCAGCAUCUAUUUAUUAUUAUUAUUAUCAUCAUUAACCCAAACUUUCAAAAUCUCAUCAUUAUUAUUACUAUUAAUUCAACUUUCAAAAUCUAUUUAUUAUUAUUAUUAUAAUCAUUAAUCCAAACUUUCAAAAUCCUAUUAUUAUUAUUACUAACCCAACUUUCAAAAAUCUCAUUACUAUUAUUAUUACUAACCCAACUUUCAAAACCUCAUUAUUAUCAUUAUUAUUAAUUCACACUUUCAGCAUCUAUUUAUUAUUAUUAUUAUCAUCAUUAACCCAAUUUUUAAAAUCUCAUCAUUAUUAUUACUAUUAAUUCAACUUUCAAAAUCUAUUUAUUAUUAUUAUUAUAAUCAUUAAUCCAAACUUUCAAAAUCCUAUUAUUAUUAUUACUAACCCAACUUUCAAAAAUCUCAUUACUAUUAUUAUUACUAACCCAACUUUCAAAACCUCAUUAUUAUCAUUAUUAUUAAUUCACACUUUCAACAUCUAUUUAUUAUUAUUAUUAUAAUCAUUAAUCCAAACUUUCAAAAUCCUAUUAUUAUUAUUAUUAACCCAACUUUCAAAAUCUCAUUAUUAUUAUUAUUAUUAAUCCAAACUCUCAAAAUCUAUUUAUUAUUAUUAUUAUCAUCAUUAAUCUUAUUAUUAUUAUUAUCAUCAUUAAUCCAGACUUUCAAAAAUCUCAUUAUUAUUAUUAUUAUUACCUCAACUUUUAAAAUCUUAUUAUUAUUAUUACUAUUAUUAUUAUCAUUGAUAAUUCGAUUCUUAAAAUCUUAUUAUUAUUAUUAUUAAUUCACACUUUCAAAAUAUUAUUAUUAUUAUUAUCAUUAAUUCAACUUUUAAAAUCUUAUUAUUAUUAUUACCAUUAUUAUUAUUAUUGUUAAUUCGAUUCUUAAAACCUUAUUAUUAUUAUUAUUAAUUCACACUUUCAAAAUAUUAUUAUUAUUAUUAUUAUUAUCAUUAAUUCAGACUUUCGAAAUCUUAUUAUUACUAUUAUUAUUAAUUCAAACUCUCAAGACCUUAUUACUAUCAUUAUUAUAAAUUCAACUUUCACAAGUCUAUGGUCUCGCAGUUCAAUUUCCUAAAUUCCAUUUCUCAUUUUCUUUAACAAAUUCCAAUUUAAUCACGGGAGCUCUAAUAUUCAAAAUUUAAUUCCAAAUACUCCAAUUUUCAAAUAAGCUCCAAUAAUCCAGUUUUCACUCGAAUAGUUUUUAAUCACAUUUUAGUUCCUAAAUAAUCUUCUGAUCUUCUUGACCUUACAUAAGCAAUAGUGAUUCCUUCAUAAUUCCAAAACACGGGAUUUGUGGGAUUAGCUCAUGAACAAUAAAUCGGGCUUUGUUGAGGGCCCUAUGUUUGACCCCUUUUGACUGUCAAUUAUCGUGCUUGCUGUAUUUUGCUUGAGCUUCGCUUUGCACUCCGAUAUGUAUGAGCUAUGUUUUGUAUUCAUUAGUUGUGCACUUAUCCCGUUUCUUGAUAGCGCGUUGCUGUUUGCUGCCCAGGUACGCAUUCACUCAUUCUGAUCAUUCACUAUACAUAUUCUGAUUCUCAUAUAUGCAUGAUUGAUGCGAGUAUCCAUUGACUUUCUUAUUCGAUUGCCACAUCAAUUUCACUUUAUUAGUAGAGACCCGACUUUAAGGACUUAGAGGGGUGCUACGGUCUCUACCGUACCUUCCCGAUAAGUAACCUGACCCCCGAACCCGAUCCGGUUUUCACAGACCACCUCUUCCAAAACAAGGAGUCACACUUAGGGUUUUUCUUUCUUAUUUUGUUUACCCUUUAAAAAUAAAACAAAAAUAAGUGGCGACUCUAAGUCAUUUUUAAUCAACAAAUCAAUUUUUCAAAUAAAAAUCGAGCUCGAUAUCGAGUGGGAAACGCAUUGAGCCGAAAUGCGGGGUCCACAGUUUGGUUCUGAAAAAUGUGGAGGAAAGAAAAUAAGAAGAAAAAGUAGAAGGGAAAAAAAAAGAAAAGAAAAAUAAAAAAUAAAUUUAAGCCCAAAAAAUUAUUUUUAUAUAUUAAUUUAAAUUCAUUCCACUUAUUUUAACUAUUGGAUAUAAAGAAUAAAUAAUUUGAAAUACAUAAAAUUUGAAUUAAUCUUAAUUAUAUAUAUAUAUAUAUAUAUAUAUAUAUUUCUAUAUUUUUCUUAAGACAAUUAAAAAAGAAAAUCAUUUUUUAAAAUUCUUUUUUUUUUUUUUCUUCCUUUUAAGGUUUUACCAGUGUAGAAUUCAUCUUGAGCUUGGAUAUUGUCGGUGUCUGGACAUGCCUUAACUUAAACAAUAACGCUCGUAGUUUUGGGUGGGGUUGUUAAGAUACAACAUCCAAUACCCUAUUGGUAUGAUAUAAACAGGCAAAACAAGAGAGCUAGAAUGAGUAAAGAUUGUAAAAAGAUAUUUGUGUGAAUUCUGUCUUGACAAGGGAGUGAGUACAUAUACAUUUCUUUCGUUAAGCUUAAACCUUUAAUAUUUGCGAUUUUAAAUACAAUAUAUUUAUAUAUAUUUUAUCAUUAAUAAAUCUAAUAAUUUUUAAAAUUUAUCUAAAGCUAAAAAAAUCCAACCAAUAUUAGUUUCAUUUUAAAAUUCAUCUAGAAUGAUUAUAUUAAUUUGUCUAGUAUGCCCAACAAUAUUUUUCCAAUAUUUUUCACUAGUUAAAGAAACCCUAAAUAGGAGAGAUUUAUGUGUUCAAUUUAUUAAUCAUUUUUUUUAACAAAAGAAUAAUAAUUUAGAUAUCAAAAUUUAAGUUGGUUAAUACCAAAAUUUUUAUGAAUAAAACUAGAGUGGGACGAUUAUGAAAGUUUCUUCAACACAUAGUGAUAUACUUUUUCUGGUUAAUUUUAAGGGAGAAUUGUGUUUUGGGCCCAACUGGGUCCAAAAAUUAAUAUUUGGUCCAUAUAACUUCCAUAAUUGAUGAAAAGGAUAUGAGAUGUUAAAAGACCAAUAUAUCCUUCAAAUUUCUAUACAUUACCUUUUAAGGACAUAAAAUAGUGAUGGACUAAAAUACCCAAUGACCUUUCACAUAAACUUUUUUUUUUGUCUUUAUUGCACCAUUAUUCAUGCAACCAUAAUAAUUUUAUUUUAACAAUUUGGAUUUUUCAUUAUUUUAAUUUUUUUUAUAAAUAAUUGAAAAUCAACAUUAUUUUCUAUUUUAAAUUAUAAAUAAAGAAAAAUUAUGUUCGAAAGCUAUUUAAAAAAAUACUUUCUAAAAAAUAGUAAUAUGAUUUAUAUUUUUUAUAUUUUCUUUUUGAAAAAACAUUUAAUUAAAAAAUGAAAACUAUUUUAAAAAAUAAAAAUUGAAAAUCUUGUUUAGUACUAUUUUUUAUAUGAAAAUAAUAAAAAGAACUAAAUUUCAUUCAUUGAUUAUCCAUUUUUAUUUUUUUUCAUUAGUUAUUUUAAUAAUAAUAAAAAAAUAUAGUAUGUUUACGAUUAAACAAAGAAAUUGAUCAAUUAUGUGUUUUUUGUGGGACUAUCUUUUACAUGAAAAAUAAUUAAAUAACUAAAUUAUAUAUAUUUAUUACUCUUUUUAAUUUUAUUUUCUUUAUUUAUUUUUUAUCGAAAAUUUUAAUAUAUCCAUAAUUAACAAAGUAACAAAUCAAUUGUGCACAUUUUAAUCUAUUAAAAUAAAUUAAUUUCUAAUUUAAUAAAUAAAAUGAAAUAAGUAAAUAAAUUUGGGGUUAUUUCUAUUUUUUAAUAUAUCUUAUAUCAAUAUUUUUUAUGAUUAAAUAAAUUUUUUAUUUUUUAUUUCUUUAAUUCCAAAAAUAAAAUGAAAUAAAUAAAUAAAUUUAGAAUUUUCCAACUGAUCCUAUAUUCAUAUUUCUUAUGGUUAAAUAAAUUUUUUAUUCUUUUUUCUUUAUUUCCAAAAAUAAAAGGAAAUAAAUAAAUAAAUUUGGCUUAAAUAAUAGUUUUUAAGUAAUUUCUUUGUCUUAUUUUUAAUUACAUUUUGCAUUGAAAAUAAAAUAAAAUAACGUUUUUUUUUAGUCACUGUACAAGGUAUUUACACUAAGUGUACAUAACAAAUAUACUAACUGUACAAGGGUGUACAAAACUAUUAUUUGUGAAGGAUUUUAAGUGAUUCUAAAAAACUUGUUUGUUUAUUUCCCUUAACCGAUGAUAAAUGACAUUCCUUACACACAUUGGUUAAACAUACAUUCAUCUCAUAUAUUUUAUCUAACUUGUAUAUGGUCAUUUUAAUAGGUACCUCACUUAUGAUGAUUGUAAAACAAAAUUAUACAACAAUUUUUUUUCCUUUUUAAAACCAAACCGAUGCAAACAUGGUUAACCGACCUAUUGUUAGAUAUUCAUAAAAUGAUGUAUGAAAUUUGAGUUAUUGUACAAGGGUAUUACACUAACUGUACAAGGGUAUUACACUAACUAUACAAGACAAAUUUACUAAUUGUACAAGGGUGUACAAGACAAAUUUACUAAUUGUACAAGAGUGUACAAGACUACUUUUUGUUAAGGAUUUAAAGUGAUUUCGAAAAACUUUCCCAUUUUUUUCCACUCAAAUAUUUUUUCCCCACUCAAAUUCUCUCACUUAAGAAUUGUUUCGAAUUUUAUUUUUAAAUUUCAUCAUCAAAUUUUUGUAAUUGCAUAUUUUGUUUUUGUAGUUUUAGCAAUGUUCUUUCUUUCCACUAUUUUUUUUUAGUGAAAUUUUAUCCAAAUGAAUCUAUAUUUAAAAUUAUAAUCAUAUUUAUCAAAUUUUUUACUAAGAUUAUCUUUAAUUUUUUUAAUAUAUUUAUACUCAUUUAUUUAAAAAAUGAAAAACUAAUUUUUUUUUAAACAUGUUCUAUUACCUUUCAAGUAAAAAAUUAGAUAAGUUUCAAAGUCAAUAAAUAAAAAAAUUAAAUACUACUUUCAAUAAUUUUUAGAUAAAAUUUUAUAUAAUAUAUUUUAUUUGAAACUUAAUUUUUAAAGUUUAACUAAAAAAUUAUAUUGACAAUUUUCUUGUUGUGGGUCAAAAUACUUUGCAUUAGUCUAUCUAGAUAAGAAAAAUUAUUAAUAUAAUAUUAGAACUUCAUAUCUUAGUUAUUUUUUUUCAAUAAAUUUAUCUUUUUAAAAAUUUUAAAAUAAAAACAUUAAAAAUUAAAAAGCUAAAAAGAUAUAUAUAUAUAUAUAUAAUAAAGUGAAGUGAUAGUUAAUUUUAAAAUUUUUUAAAAUAUGGUUAAUGUAGAAAGUAUAAAAAAUAAGAGAAAAAUAUAGAUGAAAAGGUAAUAUAAAUUUAAAAUAAAAAAUGAAAAUUAAACUAAAAGAUAAAUACAAAAAGAUAAAAAAUAUUUGGAUGAAAAAUCCCAAAAUUUUUAUCAUUGCUUUUAAUAAGAGCAAAAAGAUUCAAUAUCUUUAAAAAUGAAAAAUAAAAAAAUAUUAUUGUUUUUUAUUUGACAUAAAAUAGAAAUAUAUAUUGGAAUAAAAAGGAAAAAAAAAAAGUUAGAAAUGAGUAAUAUUUAAUAGGGAAUAGAAAAGGAAAAAAAAUACAAAAAAAAUUAAAAUUCACACUCACUUGUAGGCAUACAAAGGAUAAGGGUAUUUUAGGAAUUAAUGAAAGACAAUAUCCUUCAUCUUAAUUUUCAUACUUUGUUUGGGUCUUGGGCUUAAAUAUGGGUGGUUGGAGGACCAAAUGUUAAUUUUUGGGCCCAGUUGGGCCCAAAACACAAUUCUCCCUAAUUUUAAUUUAGGUUAAUACACUCCAAAUCAAACAAAAAAUGAUGUAUUCAAUUUACUAAAGAGUUUAUUAAUUUGUAGAAAUUGAUAAAUUUUGGUUUAUAUAUAUAUAUAGUAGAUGUGAUAAAGAAAAAAUGGUUAUGUACAUAUAUAAUUAGAAAAAAUAAAUAAAUUGCCCUUGUUUUUAUGUUUGAAUAUCAUCACUCUAUGUUUCAUUUCAUGAUGAGGAACUCACCAUAGAAUGGAACCUAAGGCCAACAUCUCUAGCAACUUUUUUUUUCACUACAUUUUAUAUAGGUAAUAUUAUUUAUAUAUAUUUCACUUCCAUUGAACAAUUAUUUUCCUUAGUCAAGUUUGGUUCGAGAAAAUAUAGAGGAAAAGUAGAAGAAAAAAAAAAGUGAAGUGAAAUAAAAAAAGUAGGUUUAAAUUUAAUAAAUUAUUUUUAUAUAUUUUUCAAAUUCAUUUUAUUUAUUUCUUUCUAUUAUGUAAAGAUUAAAUAAUUUUAAAAAAUAUAAAAUUUUAACAAAUUUUAAUUAUAUUUGAUUUUCUACAAUAAAAUCAAAUAUGAGAAAACCAUUUUCCUUAACAAUUUUUUUUCCUCAAUAAUUUUCAGAAACCAAACAUAACCUUAAAAUACUCUUUAAAUUAAUACAAAGAGUUAAGUUAUUCUUUUUGAGUCAUUUCACUAGUAAUGUCUUAAUUAACUCUAUGUUAAUGUCCUUAUCAUAAAAUAAGAGAACAGAAGAAUAUUAUAUUAUAUUUUUUAUUUUUGCUAUGAAAAAUAUAAAAAUAAAUAAAUAAAUAUAAUGAAAAGCACAAGUCCUCCUCCUGAAGCUUGUAAAAAUAUAUUCAUGGCCAAUCAUUUUAGCUUAUGGUAGAAGAAAAGGCAAAGUUUGGAAAGAACAACACGAAUCCACUUAGUUUCUACUUUUGCUUUAUACAUCAGAUAAACUAAAAGAAAGUAUUUGGAAAAAGAAAAAGCAAAAGGAAAGGAAAAUGAUGAAAUGCAUCAAGGUGGGAAUCACUUUUUAUUAAAAUUCUAUUGUUAUAUUUACUCUUAUAUUAGAAAUAUAAAAAUAAAAUAAAAUAUUUUUAAAAUUAGUUAUUGUUGUAAAACAAUGACAAAUAUAAUGCAAAUCAAAGUAGUAGAAAUAAAAUAUAUCUUACUUUGAUAAUAAUAUAUAAUAGAGAAGAAGGAAUCAAAGAAAAGAAUUGAGAAAGUGAGUGAGUGAGAGAGAGAGAGAGAGAGAGAGAGAGAGAGAGAGAGAGAGAGAGAGAGAGAAUGAGAGGAAGAACUUUUCUUUCUUUUUCUCGGGAUGCUCUUACAUGGGGUGUAAGAAGCCUUUUAUAGGCUUCAUAAUAUGAACUCCCAUUACUUAUCUUAAAGAUGAGUAAAUGGAGUUCAUAAUGACCAUCAAUGUGGUCAUUCACUACUCUUCAUUUACAACACUCCCCCUUGGAUGACCACCAUAUUAAAAGAAUAUGUCUCAUUAAAACCUUGCUAGUAAAAAACCCUAUAAGAAAAACCUAGUGUAGGAAAAAGAGUACAAUAUUCUUUUCUUGGUAUAUUAGGACCGCCUUGCUAAAAACCUUGCCAGUAAAACCCAGUAGGACAAAACCUGAACGAAGGAAAAAAGAGUAUAGUACACUAACACCCUUUUACAAGCUUACUCACCCUCAUGUCGAUAUCCUUGAGUUGACGCAUUCCAAUCCUGUGUAUUGACUUCUUGAAUGUUGAGAUUGACAAUGAUUUUGUGAAUAAAUCUACUAGAUUAUCACUUAAGCGUAUUUGUUGCACAUCAAUUUCACCACUCUUUUGGAGUUCAUGUGUAUAAAAGAAUUUUAGUGAAAUGUGUUUAGUUCUAUCUUCUUUAAUAUAACCCCCUGUUAUUUGUGCAAUGCAUACAACAUUAUCUUCAAAUAAUAUUGUUGGGUCACCUUUGAUAGAGGAGAGUCCACAUGAUUCCCGAAUAUGCUGGAUCAUAGACCUUAGCCAUAAACCUUCACGAUUUGCUUCAUGAAUUGCCAGUAUUUCUGAAUGAUUUGAUGAUGUGGCCACUAUUGUUUGUUUGACAGAUCUCCAUAAAAUAGCAGUACCAUUACAAUUAAACACAUACCCUGUUUGUGACCUAUCUUUAUGUGGAUCUGAAAGAUAUCCUACAUCUGCAUAUCCAAGCAAUUGUUGCUUUGAUUCCCUUGAGUAAAACAAACCCAUAUCACUAGUCCCUCAAAGAUAACGCAAUAUAUGUUUGAUACCAUUCCAAUGCCUUCGAGUUGGAGCGGAACUGUAUCUUGCUAAUAAAUUGACAGAAAAAGCAAUGUCAGGGCGUAUACAAUUGGCAAGAUACAUAAGUGCACCAAUAGCACCAAGAUAUGGUACUUCAGGACCAAGUAACUCUUCAUCUUUUUCGUAAGGACAAAAUGGGUCCUUUUUCACAUCAAGUGAUUGGACAACCAUUGGAGAAUUUAAAGGAUGCGCUUUAUCCAUAUAAAAAUGCUUCAAAACUUUCUUAAUGUAUGUUGAUUGAUGUACUAAAACUCCAUUUGGAAAAUGCUCGAUCUGCAGGCUGAGACAAAAUUUUUUUUUUCCAAGAUUUUUCAUCUCAAAUUCCUUUUUCAAGUAAUUUGUUGUUCUUGUGAGCUCUUCAAGAGUUCCAACAAGAUUUAAGUCAUCAACAUACACUACAAUAAUUGCAAAUCCGGUUUCUGAUUUCUUAAUGAAGAUGUAUGGGCAUAUAGGGUUAUUCACAUACCCUUCUUUUAGUAAGUAUUCGCUCAGGCGAUUAUACCACAUACGUCCAAAUUGCUUUAAUCCAUACAAGGAUCAUUGUAACUUGAUUGAGUACAUGCUACGAGGCUUUGUACUAUUUGCUCCAGGCAAUUUAAAUCCUUCAGGGAUUUUCAUGUAUAUAUCAUUAUCCAUGGAUCCGUUUAAAUAUGCUGAAUAACAUCCGUGAGACGCAUAUCCAGUCCUUUUGAGAUUGCCAAACUAAUUAAGAAACAAAAUGUGAUUGUGUCAUUGUGUCCAUGACAGGAGAAUAUGUUUCCUCGUAAUCAAUACCAGGUCUCUGUGAGAAACCUUGUGCUACUAAUCACGCUUUAUAUCUUAUGAUCUCAUUUUUCUCAUUGCGCUUUCGUACAAAUACCCAUUUGUACCCAACAGGCUUUACAUCUUCAAGUGUUUGGACUACAGGUCCAAAAACUUCUCGUUUUGUUAAUGAGUUUAACUCUGUCUGUAUAGCUUCUUUCCAUUUUGGCCAAUCAUUUCUAUGUUGACAUUCUUCCACAUUUCAUGGUUCGGGAUCUUCAUCAUUUCUUAUAAUAUCAGAGGCCACUUGGAAAGCAAAAAUAUUGUUAAUAACAAUAUUAUUUCGAUCCCAUUUUUCUCCCAUGUGUACAUAACUUAUUGAGAUCUCACAAUUUCCAGGUAUCUAUGCCUCUUCAGGGGCUUCUCGUUCAAUAUGUAGCUCUUCAUGGGCUUCUUAUUCAAUAUGUGCCUCGUCGGGGGCUUCUUGUUCAAUAUGUACCUCUUCAGGGGCUUUUUGCAUUAUUUGUGCCUCUUCUAGGGCUAUAGAUUUAUCAAUUUUAAACUGAUCAGUCAUUUUGAUGGCCUCUUCUAGAGUGCUGAGUUUUUCUUGGGUUCUCCUCUUCCGAUGAGUUACAUCCUUUGAGCCAACAAGUCUACCACGCUUCAGGCGUAUCUUAGAUUCAUUUGUUAACUGUCCUACAGGGACAUCAAUCCGUGUUGGAGUAUUUGUAGCCGAGAUAUGUGACUUUGUCACAUUCUUUGUAUCAAUGAAUGCAUCUGGUAAUUGAUUUGCAAGAUUUUACAAAUGAAUGAUCCUUUGAACUUCUAGUUCACAUUGAUUUGUAUGAGGAUCAAGAUGGGUCAUAGUAGAUGCCUUCCAACUAAUUUCUCGUCGUUCUUCAGGAAUCGACUUUUCUCCUCCUAAUGAUGGGAAAACACUCUCAUUAAAAUGACAAUCCGCAAAGCGGGCUGUAAAAACAUUGCCUGUCAAAGGUUCAAGAUAUCUUAUGAUAGAUGGAGAAUCAAAACCUACAUAAAUCCCAUGUCUUCGUUGGUGACCCAUUUUAGUGCGUUGUGUAGGUGCAAUUGGUACAUAUACUGCACAACCAAAGAUUCGUAAGUGAGAUAUUUGGUUGUUUUCCAAGCAUAAGUUGUGAAGGGGAGUAUUCAUGGUAAGUUGUAGGUCGAAUACGGACUAAAGUUGUAGCAUGCAUAAUAGCAUGUCCCCAGGUGGAAGUAGGUAAUUUGGUUUUCAUUAGUAAUGGUCGAGCUAUUAAUUGGAGAUGUUUGAUGAAGGAUUUUGUUAAACCAUUUUGGGUAUGAGUAUGAGCAACAAGAUGUUCAAUAUUUAUCCCUACUGACAUGCAAUAGUCAAUGAAUAUUUGAGAAGUAAAUUCGUCAGCAUUAUCAAAACGUAUUGUCUUAAUUGGAUAAUUUGGAAAUUGUGCUCGUAAUCUGAUUAUUUGUGUAAGGAGUCUAGCAAAGGCAACGUUAUGUGUAAAAAGGAGACAAACAUGUGACCACCUAGUAGAAGCAUCUAUUAAGAUCAUAAAAUAACGGAAUGGUCCACAUGGUGGAUGGAUAGGCCCACAUAUGACCCCAUGUAUUCUUUCUAAAAAGACUGGUGACUCAGAUAUGACUUUAGUAAAAGAUGGUCUGAUUAUCAAUUUACCUUAUGAGCAAGCAGCACAUGAGUAUUCAUUGGGUGAAAGAAUCUUCUGGUUCUUUAGUGGAUGCCCAUGUGAGUGUUCGAUUAUUCGACGCAUCAUUGAAGACCCUGGGUGACCUAGCCUAUCAUGCCAAAGGAUAAAAACUUUUGGGUUGUUGAACUUCUGGUUCACGACAACAUAUGAUUCAAUAGGCUUUAUAGUUGUAUGAUACAACCCAGAGGAGAAAGCCGGGAGUUUUUCCAUUAUAAGCUUCUGGCUAAAUAUAAUGGAAGUAAUGUAAAGAUAUUCUACAUUAUCUUCGUUCAUAGUUUCAAUAUGAUAUCCAUUUCUACAGAUAUCUUUAAAACUGAGCAAAUUUCUUCUGGAUUUUCUAGAAUAUAAAGCGUCAUUUAUAUGGAAUUUAGUUCCAUUUGGCAACAUUAUGUUUAUUCUUCCAGAGCCUUCAACUAAGUUUGUAGUACCAGAUAUGGUACUUACAUUAGCUUUUAUUAUUGUUAAUAAAAGGAAAUAUUUUUUACCUCGAAGAAUUGUGUGCGUGGUCGCACAGUCUACGAGACAUACAUCAUCCUCAUUCAUCUUGAGACCAAAUAACACAUGUAUUUCAGAUAUAACAAAAAAAUAAGGCAUAAUGUAAAUAACAAAGUAAAUCAGAUGUAAAUAUAAGACAUAAUAAUAUAUUAUUUCAUAUAUAAAGUAAAAUCAAUCAAUGUUAAUUUUCUCAUCAUUUAUCAAAUGGUCUGUUUUUUCAUUAGGACCUCUAAAGAAAUCAAUGUCAUAGUAGGUUAGGUCCAAUCCAUCACCAUCGGUAAAGUUCAUCUCUAUCUCUUUUCCUUUAGCUUUUAUUGAUGCUUGGUAAAGGUCAACCAAAUGUUUGGGUGUACGACAGGUACGCGACCAAUGCCCCUUCAUACCACAUCUAUAACAAUUAUUCUCAUGGUUCUUAGGAGGUUUAUCUUGUAAACGCUUCCCAUUUUCUUGUAUUGUCUCAGUAUUGUUCCACUUCUGGUGGUACAAUGAGGCUUUCAUUUUUUGAGAAUUAUUACUAUAAGAACCAUGGUAUCGGGGAUUUCUUCCAUGACCACGACCACGUCCUCAUCCUCUUCCACGUCCACGAGUUUGGGACGAUAUUGCAUUUACUUCAGGGAAUGGUUUAGAUCCAGUUGGACGAGAUUGGUGAUUUCUCAUAAAAAACUCAUUAUUUUGUUCAGCAACAAGAAGACAUGAUAUUAAUUCAAAUAUUUUGUAAAUCUACGCUUUCGAUAUUGCUGUUGUAGGAGCACAUUCGAGGCAUGAAACAUAGUAAAAGUUUUCUUUAACAUGUCUUCCUCUAUGAUUUUUUCUCCACACAGCUUUAAUUGAGAGCUGAUUUUGAAAAGUGUAGAGUUGUAUUCACUAACAGUUUUAAAAUCUUGCAACCUUAGGUGCAUCCAAUCAUAUCGAGCUUUUGGGAGAAUCAUAGUUUUCUGGUGGUCAUAUCUUUCCUUCAAAUUACUCCAUAGAGUAAAAGGGUCCUUCACCGUAAGAUACUCAUUUUUUAAACCUUCAUGGAGGUGAUGGCAAAGGAAAAUCAAUGCUUUUGCGCGAUCCUACAGGGAUGCUUGAUUUCCUUGUUUGAUCGUAGCUCCAAGGUUCAUUGCAUCAAGAUGUAAUUCAGCAUCAAGGAUCCAAGAUAGAUAGUUCUUUCCCGAAAUGUCAAGUGCCACAAAUUCGAGUUUUGUGAUAUUCGACAUUGUCAAAUAACUUCAUAUAUAUAUGACAAAACAAUAUUAUUAGAAUCAGUUAUAAUAACUUGAUAGCAUUGGUAUAACUUUGAUUAUAAACAAAAUCAAAUAAUUUGUUUAUAACUUUUAACAAUAUGUAACAAAACAAAUCAACAAUAAUAUAAAUAUGUAAAAUUUUAUUCUAUACAAAUAACUUCAAGUUUAAGAUACGAUAAUUACCUUUAGAGCAAUUCGUGCUGAUAACGUGUUGUAAAACAAGGACAAAUAUAAUGCAAAUCAAAGUAGUAGAGAUAAAAUAUAGCUUACUUUGAUAAUAAUAUAUAAUAAAGAAGAAGGAAUCAAAGAAAAGAAUUGAGAAAGUGAAAAAGAGAGAGAGAGAGAGAGAGAGAGAGAGAAUGAGAAGAACUUUUCUUUCUUUUUCCCGGGAUGCUCUUACAUGGGGUGUAAGAAGCUGCUUCAUAAUAUGAACUCCCAUUACUCAUCUUAAAGAUGAGUAAAUGAAGUUCAUAAUGACCAUCAAUGUGGUCAUUCACUACUCUUCAUUUACAACGGUUAUAAAUUUAUAUAUUUUUAAAUUAUUUAAUUUUUAUAUAAAAUAUUUUCAAUUAAUAAAAUUUAAAUAACAUAUAAAAUAAUUUCUUAAUUUUAAAUUUAUUUUUAAUUUUAAUUUUCUUUUCUUUUCUUUUCUUUUUUGCAUUUUUCACACUUUUCCACAUAUUUUCCCGACCCAACAUAGCCUGUUAAAUCAACAACUUUCACCUUUGCUUUAAAUAAUAAAUUAAUUAAAAGUUUUUGCUUUUGUGCUAUUCUGUGCUGGCAUGUCUUACUGUUAGAAUGAAAUUUUUUUUUUUUUUUUUUCGGCCAAAAGCCUGCAACGCCUCAAUACCUUCAUGCCUCUACCUCCAUGCCUCUACCUCCACCAUCCUAAAGUUCCACAUCCCAUCUUUCCAUCUCACUAGUCUUUAUCCAUAUUCUUCACUCCUCCUCCUCCAUCAAUCCCACCUUCUUCAACUCCUAAUGGCGGAUGCUCUCCUUUCUAUUGUCUUAGACCGUUUGGGUUCUCUUAUCCAACAACAAAUUCAUCAGGAAGUUUCUCUGGUUGUGGGUGUUGAAAGAGAAAUCCAAAGCCUCACCAACACACUCCAGAUCGUCCGAGCUGUUGUUGCAGAUGCAGAGAAGAGACAAGUGAGGGAGGAACUUGUCAAAGUUUGGUUGCAGAGGCUUAAAGACAUCGCCUACCAAAUGGACGACGUGCUGGAUGAGUGGAGCACUUCUCUUCUCAAAUCUCAGAUUGAGAGACCUGAAAGCCCUUCCAUGUCUAACAAGAAGGUAAC
rnacentral:lncRNA from 1 species